rnacentral:ncRNA from 1 species
UCGUCCUUUUUGAUACGGUCGUAAGAGCCCGACGAGACGCGCCGUACCGGGUCAGGACAAGACGACGCACC